rnacentral:lncRNA from 1 species
AAAUAACUUCAGAAUUGACCAUCUGCCCAUCCCUAUGCAAAGUUCUUUGCAUUCACCAGAAUAUUAGGC